AGUCGUGUAGUUCAGUAGCAGAACGCGCCCCUGAUGAGGGCGAUGCCAGAGGUGCGAUUCCUCUCACGACUA
rnacentral:tRNA from 1 species